rnacentral:rRNA from 1 species
AUUGAACGCUGGCGGCAGGCUUAACACAUGCAAGUCGAGCGGGCGAGGUUACUUCGGUAACUGAGCUAGCGGCGGACGGGUGAGUAAUGCUUAGGAAUCUGCCUAUUAGUGGGGGACAACAUUCCGAAAGGGAUGCUAAUACCGCAUACGUCCUACGGGAGAAAGCAGGGGAUCACUUGUGACCUUGCGCUAAUAGAUGAGCCUAAGUCGGAUUAGCUAGUUGGUGGGGUAAAGGCCUACCAAGGCGACGAUCUGUAGCGGGUCUGGGAGGAUGAUCCGCCACACUGGGACUGAGACACGGCCCAGACUCCUACGGGAGGCAGCAGUGGGGAAUAUUGGACAAUGGGGGGAACCCUGAUCCAGCCAUGCCGCGUGUGUGAAGAAGGCCUUUUGGUUGUAAAGCACUUUAAGCGAGGAGGAGGCGCUCUAGGUUAAUACCCUAGAUGCGUGGACGUUACUCGCAGAAUAAGCACCGGCUAACUCUGUGCCAGCCGCCGCGGUAAAAC